rnacentral:tRNA from 1 species
GGUGGCUCAGUGGUAGAGUGCUUGCCUUGAAUGCACGAGGUCCUGGGUUCAAUUCCUCAGCACCA